rnacentral:rRNA from 1 species
UACGUAGGGACCGAGCGUUGUUCGGAAUUACUGGGCGUAAAGCGCGUGUAGGCGGGGCUUUAAGUCAGGGGUGAAAUGCCAGGGCUCAACCUUGGAACUGCCUUUGAUACUGGAGACCUUGAGUCCGGGAGAGGUGAGUGGAAUUGCGAGUGUAGAGGUGAAAUUCGUAGAUAUUCGCAAGAACACCAGUGGCGAAGGCGGCUCACUGGCCCGGAACUGACGCUGAGACGCGAAAGCGUGGGGAGCAAACAGG